ACGUCUUCUUCGCGCGUUAUCCGGAUUCACUGGGCGUAAAGCGCGUGCAGGCGGUUCGGUAAGUUGGGCGUGAAAUCUCCCGGCUCAACUGGGAGAGGUCGUUCAAUACUACCGGACUUGAGAGCGAUAGAGGAAAAUGGAAUUCCCGGUGUAGUGGUGAAAUGCGUAGAUAUCGGGAGGAACACCAGAGGCGAAGGCGACACCCUGGGCCGUACCUGACGCUAAGACGCGACAGCACGGGGAGCGAACGG
rnacentral:rRNA from 1 species